rnacentral:rRNA from 1 species
AUUGAACGCUGGCGGCAUGCCUUACACAUGCAAGUCGAACGCGAAAGCGGGGCAACCCGCAAGUAGAGUGGCGAACGGGUGAGUAAUACAUCGGAACAUAUCCAGUAGCGGGGGAUAACCUGUCGAAAGAUAGGCUAAUACCGCAUACGACCUACGGGUGAAAGCGGAGGACCGCAAGGCUCCGCACUAUUGGAGUGUCCGAUGUCGGAUUAGCUAGUUGGCGGGGUAAAAGCCCACCAAGGCGACGAUCCGUAGCUGGUCUGAGAGGACGACCAGCCACACUGGAACUGAGACACGGUCCAGACUCCUACGGGAGGCAGCAGUGGGGAAUUUUGGACAAUGGGCGCAAGCCUGAUCCAGCCAUGCCGCGUGAGUGAAGAAGGCCUUCGGGUUGUAAAGCCCUUUCGGCGGGGACGAAAUGGUUCGUGCUAAUACCACGGAUUGAUGACGGUACCCGAAGAAGAAGCACCGGCUAACUACGUGCCAGCAGCCGCAGUAAAAC